rnacentral:rRNA from 1 species
GUGGGGAAUAUUGGACAAUGGGCGCAAGCCUGAUCCAGCCAUGCCGCGUGAGUGAUGAAGGCCCUAGGGUUGUAAAGCUCUUUCACCGGUGAAGAUAAUGACGGUAACCGGAGAAGAAGCCCCGGCUAACUUCGUGCCAGCAGCCGCGGUAAUACGAAGGGGGCUAGCGUUGUUCGGAAUUACUGGGCGUAAAGCGCACGUAGGCGGGUAUUUAAGUCAGGGGUGAAAUCCCGGAGCUCAACUCCGGAACUGCCUUUGAUACUGGGUACCUAGAGUAUGGAAGAGGUAAGUGGAAUUCCGAGUGAAGAGGUGAAAUUCGUAGAUAUUCGGAGGAACACCAGUGGCGAAGGCGGCUUACUGGUCCAUUACUGACGCUGAGGUGCGAAAGCGUGGGGAGCAAACAGGAUUAGAAACCCUUGUAGUCC